GCCGGCUUAGCUCAUCUGGUAGAGCGGUUCAACUGUAAUGAACAGGUGGGGGGUUCGAGGCCUUCAGCUGGCACCA
rnacentral:tRNA from 1 species